rnacentral:rRNA from 1 species
UACGUAGGUGGCUAGCGUUGUCCGGAUUUACUGGGCGUAAAGAGCGCGCAGGCGGUCGUUCAAGUCGAGUGUGAAAGCCCCCGGCUCAACUGGGGAGGGUCACUCGAUACUGAUCGACUUGAAGGCGGGAGAGGGAAGCGGAAUUCCCGGUGUAGUGGUGAAAUGCGCAGAUAUCAGGAGGAACACCGAUGGCGAAGGCAGGUCUCUGGGCAUUAACUGACGCUGAGGAGCGAAAGCAUGGGGGAGCGAACAGGG